AUUGAACGCUGGCGGCAGGCCUAACACAUGCAAGUCGAACGAGUGGCGGACGGGUGCGUAAUGUCUGGGAAACUGCCCGAUGGAGGGGGAUAACUACUGGAAACAGUAGCUAAUACCGCAUACCAUCGGAUGUGCCCAGAUGGGAUUAGCUAGUAGGUGGGGUAACGGCGCACCUAGGCGACGAUCCCUAGCUGGUCUGAGAGGAUGACCAGCCACGCUGGAACUGAGACACGGUCCAGACUCCUACGGGAGGCAGCAGGGGGGAAUAUUGCGCAAUGGGCGCAAGCCUGCUGCAGCCAUGCCGCGUGUAUGAAGAAGGCCUUCGGGUUGUAAAGUUCUUUCAGCGAGGAAGCGUUAUUCGCAGAGGAAGCGACGGCUAACUCCGUGCCAGCAGCCGCGGUAAUUC
rnacentral:rRNA from 1 species